rnacentral:lncRNA from 1 species
UUGACUGGCCAGGGAGGACUCGGAUGGUGGCGGGAGCCCCUUGCGACGACCGUCAUCGAACCGCGCGAAGGGCGGACGCGCGGGGCCGCGGAGACCCCGGCCCGCGGGAGAGCGCGCGCCCCGCUCCCCCGUGCGCGCGCGGGGCCCCUCGGGCUGGUUGG